GGUCCGUUGGCCCAAUGGUAAGGCGUCUGACUACGAAUCAGGAGAUUCUGGGUGUAAGCAUUACCCUCCACACAUGGUAGAAUGAGCAUCCUACUAACAUUAAUCCAGUCGAUCCCCAGGCGGACCU
rnacentral:tRNA from 1 species